GGACCACUGAAAGAACUAAUGGAAAGAAUCUAGUCAAGCAGUUACUCAGGCCCAUCUCAGAGUCAGAGCCCAGUAGAUGCCACCUACAGCAUUAUCUGCUCCUGUCCUUUUCCAUCAGGGACCUCAGUGGGUGGUGGGUGGAGUUGGACCCUAGUGCCCACCCAGGUGGGUGAUGACCGGGCGAGGAGCUGGCUGGCUGGCCUAUCAGCUGGAUGACACGAGAAACUGCAUGGCUGAUGUGCAUCCAGCAAGAUUCAAGCCUAGGUGCUCAGAGGCAGGCUCAAGUCCCCGCUUGCACUGAUGCCUGAUCUAGGAAGCCUCGCUGUGCAGUUCAGCUCCUGUUCCUGCCAGCCCUGCUCAGACACCCCAGCACUUCAGGAAAGCCUGGCCUUUUGCUGGAACCUGGGGCCGUUCGCCCAACUUGGUCUUCGGGGAGUCCAGCCAGAGCCACCCACAUCCUUGUCAUAGGCCUUGGCCCCUCGUAUACCCCUGGGGUCCCUGUCUCCAUGGCUCCCACUUCCCUCCCUGAAGCCAAGCCCACUUCUCACUUUGCUGCCCAAGCAUAGCUUUGCCUGUCGUCAUGCACCCUUGUCACAUCAGCUUUUAUACAGGUCUGUUUCUUAAUAAAUGUGUCGAGUGGCUGAUGGUGGAAAUCACCCUUCCUGCUCACUGGGCUGGUGACACUUGGCAGGCCACCUUGUCCAGGAGCCUCAGUGACCCUGUGGUGUGGGAUGAAUGGUGGCCUCAAAUCUGUGCCCGUGUAACCCCUGGAACCAGUCAGUGCGACCCUAUUUGGACCAAGGGUUUUUAGAUGUAAUUUAGCUUAAUUAAGAGUCUUGAGAUGAGUGAGUGCUGGAUCAUUGGGUGCGCCCUGUUUCCCUUGGCGAGUGACCUUUAGGGGAUGGAAGAGCUGACAGGAGGAGAAGACCACACACAGAGGAGGCAGAGGGUGGAGUUCCAUAGCCAGCAGCCAAGCUGCCCCUGCAGCCACUGAGAAGUGGAGGAGCC
rnacentral:lncRNA from 1 species